GUGUCCACAAAGACUGACAAUGGUUCUGGGACACCAAUUGCAUACGAAACCUGCACAAUACACCGCCUGGCAAGCCCUGAGGCUACCACACUCUUUGCUGCCUGCCUAACAAUAUAUGCACCACUUCUGUCCACUUUAGUUGGAUCCUUCCCUGAGAAGGCACCUCCACCAUGAGCUCCCCAUCCACCAUAUCGUGUCGAUAAUAAUCUUUCGACCCGUGAGUCCUGCAUCUCCAUGGGGCCCUCCAAUGACA
rnacentral:misc_RNA from 1 species